UGGGGAAUCUUGCGCAAUGGGCGGAAGCCUGACGCAGCAACGCCGCGUGAAUGAUGAAGGCCUUCGGGUUGUAAAGUUCUGUCAGGGGGGACGAUAAUGACGGUACCCCCGGAGGAAGCCCCGGCUAACUACGUGCCAGCAGCCGCGGUAAUACGUAGGGGGCGAGCGUUGUCCGGAAUUAUUGGGCGUAAAGGGCGUGUAGGCGGCCGAUCAAGUCUGGUGUGAAAAUCCGGGGCUCAACCCCGGAAGUGCAUUGGAAACUGGUUGGCUUGAGUGCAGGAGAGGAAAGUGGAAUUCCCAGUGUAGCGGUGAAAUGCGUAGAUAUUGGGAGGAACACCAGUGGCGAAGGCGACUUUCUGGACUGCAACUGACGCUGAGGCGCGAAAGCUAGGGGAGCAAA
rnacentral:rRNA from 1 species